rnacentral:rRNA from 1 species
UACGGAGGGAGCUAGCGUUGUUCGGAAUUACUGGGCGUAAAGCGCACGUAGGCGGAUUGUUAAGUCAGGGGUGAAAUCCUGGAGCUCAACUCCAGAACUGCCUUUGAUACUGGCAAUCUUGAGUCCGGAAGAGGUGAGUGGAACUCCGAGUGUAGAGGUGAAAUUCGUAGAUAUUCGGAAGAACACCAGUGGCGAAGGCGGCUCACUGGCCCGGUACUGACGCUGAGAUACGAAAGCGUGGGGAGCAAACAGG